rnacentral:rRNA from 1 species
UACGAAGGGGGCUAGCGUUGCUCGGAAUCACUGGGCGUAAAGGGUGCGUAGGCGGGUCUUUAAGUCAGGGGUGAAAUCCUGGAGCUCAACUCCAGAACUGCCUUUGAUACUGAGGAUCUUGAGUUCGGGAGAGGUGAGUGGAACUGUGAGUGUAGAGGUGAAAUUCGUAGAUAUUCGCAAGAACACCAGUGGCGAAGGCGGCUCACUGGUCCGAUACUGACGCUGAGGCACGAAAGCGUGGGGAGCAAACAGG